rnacentral:rRNA from 1 species
GACGAACGCUGGCGGCGUGCUUAACACAUGCAAGUCGAACGGUAAGGCCCUUUCGGGGGUACGCGAGUGGCGAACGGGUGAGUAACACGUGGGUGAUCUGCCCUGCACUUUGGGAUAAGCCUGGGAAACUGGGUCUAAUACCGGAUAGGACUACGCGAUGCAUGUCGUGUGGUGGAAAGCUUUUGCGGUGUGGGAUGGGCCCGCGGCCUAUCAGCUUGUUGGUGGGGUGAUGGCCUACCAAGGCGACGACGGGUAGCCGGCCUGAGAGGGUGUCCGGCCACACUGGGACUGAGAUACGGCCCAGACUCCUACGGGAGGCAGCAGUGGGGAAUAUUGCACAAUGGGCGCAAGCCUGAUGCAGCGACGCCGCGUGGGGGAUGACGGCCUUCGGGUUGUAAACCCCUUUCAGCACAGACGAAGCGUAAGUGACGGUAUGUGCAGAAGAAGCACCGGCCAACUACGUG